AUGAACGCUGGCGGCGUGCCUAAUACAUGCAAGUCGAGCGAACGGACGAGAAGCUUGCUUCUCUGAUGUUAGCGGCGGACGGGUGAGUAACACGUGGAUAACCUACCUAUAAGACUGGGAUAACUUCGGGAAACCGUAGCUAAUACCGGAUAAUAUUUUGAACCGCAUGGUUCAAAAGUGAAAGACGGUCUUGCUGUCACUUAUAGAUGGAUCCGCGCUGCAUUAGCUAGUUGGUAAGGUAACGGCUUACCAAGGCAACGAUGCAUAGCCGACCUGAGAGGGUGAUCGGCCACACUGGAACUGAGACACGGUCCAGACUCCUACGGGAGGCAGCAGUAGGGAAUCUUCCGCAAUGGGCGAAAGCCUGACGGAGCAACGCCGCGUGAGUGAUGAAGGUCUUCGGAUCGUAAAACUCUGUUAUUAGGGAAGAACAUAUGUGUAAGUAACUGUGCACAUCUUGACGGUACCUAAUCAGAAAGCCACGGCUAGCUACGUG
rnacentral:rRNA from 1 species